rnacentral:rRNA from 1 species
CAGGACGAACGCUGGCGGCGUGCUUAACACAUGCAAGUCGAACGAUGAAGCCCUUCGGGGUGGAUUAGUGGCGAACGGGUGAGUAACACGUGGGCAAUCUGCCCUUCACUCUGGGACAAGCCCUGGAAACGGGGUCUAAUACCGGAUAACACCGGCUUCCGCAUGGAAGCUGGUUAAAAGCUCCGGCGGUGAAGGAUGAGCCCGCGGCCUAUCAGCUUGUUGGUGGGGUAAUGGCCUACCAAGGCGACGACGGGUAGCCGGCCUGAGAGGGCGACCGGCCACACUGGGACUGAGACACGGCCCAGACUCCUACGGGAGGCAGCAGUGGGGAAGUAUUGCACAAUGGGCGAAAGCCUGAUGCAGCGACGCCGCGUGAGGGAUG